rnacentral:pre_miRNA from 1 species
UGCCUGGCUCCCUGUAUGCCAUCUGCAAAGCGCCCAUCAGGAGUGGUGGCCUUGGUGGAUGGCGUGCGAGGAGCCAUGCAUG